rnacentral:rRNA from 1 species
GUAGUUGGUGAGGUAAAGGCUCACCAAGCCUACGAUCUCUAGCUGGUCUGAGAGGAUGACCAGCCACACUGGGACUGAGACACGGCCCAGACUCCUACGGGAGGCAGCAGUGGGGAAUAUUGCGCAAUGGGGGCAACCCUGACGCAGCCAUGCCGCGUGAAUGAAGAAGGCCUUCGGGUUGUAAAGCUCUUUCGCUCACGAGCAAGGCAUUUAAUUGAAUAGACUAGAGUGAUUGACGUUAACUACACAACAGCCACCUGCUAACUCCGUGCCACCAGCCGCGGAAAUACGCAGGGUGCGAGCGUAAAUCUUGAAUAACUGGGCGUAGAGGGCACGCAGGCGGUGACUGACGUGAGGUGCUGCAAGCCCCGGGCUUAACCUGCGAAUUGCAUUUCAUACUGUGACGCUAGAGUACUAUACGGAAGCUCAUAAUUCCACGUGUAGCUGCGAAAAGCUCAGAGAUAUGAACGAAUACCGAAGGCGAACGCUGCCCCUUGACAAUGUACUGACGAUCAUGUGCGAAAGCGUGAGCAGCAAUCAGGAUUAGAUUCGUUGGUAGUCCACGCUGUAAACGAUACCGAUUUGGGGGCUUGAACUGUGUGUGUGGCGUAGGUAGCUAACGUGAUAAAUCGACCGCGGGUGAGUACGGCCGCAAGGUUAUAAAUCAAAUGAAUUGACGGGCCGCCCGCACAAGCGGGCGAUGCAUGUGAUUUAAUUGGAUGCAGCGGGAAGAUCCUUAGGUACUCUAGACAUCCAGAGAACUUUCCAGAUGAUGGAUCGGUUCGUUGGUGAAGUGUGAGACAGGUAUUGCAUUGCUGUGGUCAGCUCGUGUUGUGAAAUGUUGGGUUAAGUCCCGCAACGAGCGCAUCCCUUAUCUUUUGAUCCCAGGGAUUUGGUGGGUAAUUCAAAGGAGACGGCCGGUGAUAAGCGGGAGGAAGGUGGGGAUGACGUUCAAGUCAUCAUGGACCUUACGAGUAGGGCUCCACACGCAAUGCAAUGGAGUAUGCAGAGGGAAGCGAGAGUGCGAGGUGGAUCGAAUCUCACAAAUUUCGUUUAAGUCCGGAUUGGAGUAUUCAACUCGACUCCAUGAAGUUGGAAUGUAUAGUAAUAUCAAAUCAGAAUGGUGGGGUGAAUUCUUUGCCGGGCUUCGCACACACCGCCCGUCCCACCAUGGGAGUGGCUUGUACCAGACGUAGAUAGCUUAACCUUCGGGAGGGCGUUUUCCAAGGUAUGAUUC